rnacentral:rRNA from 1 species
GGGGAGGUGACAGCUGUCGAAAGAUGGUUUUCUUUCGGACACUCUUCAAGGUGCUGCAUGGUUGUCGUCAGCUCGUGCCGUGAGGUGUCGGGUUAAGUCCCAUAACGAGCGCAACCCUUACCGUUAGUUACCAUCAGGUUAAGCUGGGGACUCUAGCGGGACUGCCACCGUAAGGUGAGAGGAAGGUGGGGAUGACGUCAAAUCAGCACGGCCCUUAUGUCCAGGGCUACACACGUGUUACAAUGGCCGGUACAAAGGGCAGCUACUUCGCGAGAAGAUGCUAAUCUCGAAAGCCGGUCUCAGUUCGGAUCGAAGUCUGCAACCCGACUUCGUGAAGCUGGAUUCGCUAGUAAUCGCGCAUCAGCCAUGGCGCGGUGAAUACGUUCCCGGGCCUU